AUUGAACGCUGGCGGCAGGCCUAACACAUGCAAGUCGAGCGGAGCGGCGGACGGGUGAGUAAUGCCUAGGAAUCUGCCUGGUAGUGGGGGAUAACUACUGGAAACGGUGGCUAAUACCGCAUACUAUCGGAUGAACCCAUAUGGGAUUAGCUAGUAGGUGGGGUAAAGGCUCACCUAGGCGACGAUCCCUAGCUGGUCUGAGAGGAUGAUCAGCCACACUGGGACUGAGACACGGCCCAGACUCCUACGGGAGGCAGCAGUGGGGAAUAUUGCACAAUGGGCGCAAGCCUGAUGCAGCCAUGCCGCGUGUAUGAAGAAGGCCUUAGGGUUGUAAAGUACUUUAAGUUGGGAGGCGUUACCAACAGAAUAAGCACCGGCUAACUUCGUGCCAGCAGCCGCGGUAAUAC
rnacentral:rRNA from 1 species